UAGAAGAAUCAUCCUUUCGGGAGCAACAAACCUUUUACUUUUCCAAAAUCCUCGCUGCAAAAAUUAAUUCAUCGUUUCAAACCCAACUCUUGCUUUCACUUUUCUUUUCCUGUCACCGCUCUCUUCUAAAUCUUCAAACAAAUCAUAGUCUAAACAUUUCACAAACAAUAAAAGUUAAUCAAUAGAGGAGUAGAAUGCAGCCAAGAUAAAGAAGAAAUCAAUAGAGAAGGAAGUUUACAAACUGUGUGUAAUAUCUAAAAGGAUUUUUUAUUUUUAUUUAAGAGAAUAUAUUGGUAUAACACAAGGUGGGCAUUGAAGGUGUUAUAGACAAUUUUCCCGGCUUUUGAGGAAUCGCCAUUGGCGCAAACAAUGCUUAUGUCUUGUUGUAGAUGCUUUGGCAUUCAACACGUCCCUAUUAGUCUCAUGGUUGGUAAAGUAAGGAAGACUUCAAAUCAUUAUACCAGACCUAUUCUUCAUUUAUAAUUACUGGUGAGCAGUGUUUAUACUACCACAAAAUAUACUUCAGAAGGUGGACAAGAUUUGUAGAGAUUUCUUAUAGAGAUGCUUAAUCAAUAAAAGGAAGAUUGCUUUGAUUUUUUGGGACACAGUGUGUACACCUAACAAGUAUAGGGGUCUGAGCAUUAAGAACAGCAAAGAAUGGAAUAUUACCUUCUGUGGCCAAGCUUAUCUGGCAGAUUGCUAGGUAAAAGGACACUUUAUAGAUCAAAUGGGUGCAUGGCAUAUAUAUGAAAAAUGAGGAUAAAGACUUUUUGGAGCAUCAGGCUCCUGCAGAUUGUAGUUGGUAUUGGAGGAAGAUAAACUCCCUCAAAGAAGACAUCAACCAUUAGUUCUCCAAUGUAGUAUACUCAUUGACUGCGAAUGGAGAAUAUUCAGUCACUAAAAGCUACAAGUCGUUGAUAGGAAGACAGGAAAGAAUGCAAGAGGCGGAGCUAUUUUGGAAGCCUCUUACGAUGCUUAAACACAAAUUCAUAGUUCGGUUGGCCUACCAGAACAGACUACUCACCAAGGGAAGACUCCAAAGGCCGAAUAUCCUAACUGGAGAUGAGAAGUGUAACUUAUGUGUGGAUAACAAGGUGGAGACGCAGCAACACCUAUUUGUCGAAUAUGCAUGGACCAGAGAAGUACAAAAUACUCUGUUCAAAUGGUCAGGAAUUUCAUUCAGACAUCAAACAGUCCAACAUACUCUUUGAUGGCUAAAAAGAAGGAAAUGGAAAAAGUUUCACAAGGAGAUGACAUCUGCAAUUUUGGGAGCAUUGAUCUAUCAUACUUGGAAAGCUAGAAAUUGGAAACAGUUCAAGAAUGUGAUGAUCCAAGCUGUAGAGGUGAUCAACCAAAUACAAAAGGAGGUGAAGAAAAUAAUAGUAUAUUAUAAAAGUAUCAAAAAAGCAUAUAAUUGUAGGAAUUUAAUACAACAAUUAGAAGGACAAUUAGACUGAUAUUAUAAAAUCCUAUAGUGGAUGCUCUAUUUAAAAGAAGGGGACCUAUUGGCAAAUUGCCUUUUUGCUCUCUCCCUUCUGAUACACUUGGCUAUA